rnacentral:rRNA from 1 species
UACGUAGGUGGCAAGCGUUGUCCGGAUUUAUUGGGCGUAAAGAGCUUGUAGGCGGUUUGUCGCGUCUGCUGUGAAAUUUCGGGGCUCAACCCCGAACUUGCAGUGGGUACGGGCAGACUAGAGUGUGGUAGGGGAGACUGGAAUUCCUGGUGUAGCGGUGAAAUGCGCAGAUAUCAGGAGGAACACCGAUGGCGAAGGCAGGUCUCUGGGCCAUAACUGACGCUGAGAAGCGAAAGCAUGGGGAGCGAACAGG